rnacentral:rRNA from 1 species
UACGUAGGGGGCAAGCGUUGUCCGGAUUCAUUGGGCGGAAAGAGCGUGUAGGCGGCCAGGUAGGUCGGUUGUGAAAACUGGAGGCUCAACCUUCAGAGGUCGACCGAAACCCCCUGGCUAGAGUCCGGGAGAGGAGAGUGGAAUUCCUGGUGUAGCGGUGAAAUGCGCAGAUAUCAGGAAGAACACCCGUGGCGAAAGCGGCUCUCUGGAACGGUACUGACGCUGAGACGCGAAAGCGUGGGGAGCGAACAGG